CAGCCCCCGCCCCCCCCGGCUCCCCUCACACACACACACACACACACACACGCACACACGCACACCGCCCGCUGACACCCGGAGCUGGCCCGGCCCUCCUUCCCCUCCUCCUUCCGCUCCGUCCCGGUGCCCGGUGCUGCUCUCCCGCCUCUUCCCCGCGCCCUGAACCGCUACCGGCGGGACCCCGCUCUCAGACAAUAAGUGCGCUGCCCCCGUCCGGCACCCGCGCCGCGGCCGCCUCCGAGCGCAGCCGGCCCGGGCCGCCCUCCCCUCCCCCCGCGUCCUGUCCCCGAGCAGACCCGCCAAUCACGCGCCGAGGGCGGGUAAGCUGCGAGGGGACACCGGCCAAUCGGAGAAGCGUAAGGAGCGCGGCCGCGCCGUACGUCACUGCGGGUGGCAACAGGGAGGCAGCCGUGCCGCCGCGCGGGGGCGCUGCCGCGCGCCGAGGGGGAGGGGCGGUGCGAGGGAAGGCGUAACGGUUGGGGCGGGGCGGCGGUGAGAGGAACAACCGAUACGCCCCGGGCCGUCCUGCCCACGCCGCGCCCGUGGGGAAGGACACGACGCGCUUUCCCGCGAGGAACGCGCCUUCGCAGGGACACGCUGUGGGAGGCAAGCGCUGAGGGUCGGCAAGGCACGGCUGCCGCCUUUCUCGGGGCUGUCAGGUGGAUGCUGAGCUUCCAAUUUUGUAUGAAGGACCUGGAAAAUUAAUCGUGUAUAGUGAACCAGGGCUGCUACAAUGAAUAUCAAGAGAACCUGAGAAAACAGCAUGAGUGCAUCUGUUCAAAGCUUUUUGCGUUGGUAAAGGACCAUUAAUGAGUACAGCAGAAGGAGAACAAGUCACAAACACUCCUGUACUACAUUCUUGAUAGCUCCAGCUGUUUAGUAAACAGGCUGUUCUUAGUGUGGGAAGUAUGCCUUUGCACUCAUUUAUCCUCAGCCAAGUAGGAGAUAGCGAUCUAGCUUGAAGACGGCCAAUUCUCCACACAUUAGAGAAAGACAGAGGGAGUUUCUUCUUGGCAGUUGCUGAUCUUUGCAUGUGCAUGGUCAGACAUGUUCAGCCUUUGUGUCAUGCUGCAGUAAAUAUAGGAGGAAAGGCUGACAUUCCUCUAAGUGUUUUCUUUAGUCUUCUUUGAAAUUACUUAGUCCAAGUUGCUUUUAAUUUAAUUCUCAUCAUAUACGGUACUACCUGCAUGGCGUGUUAUUGGCUUACUGUUUAUAUUGGUUUUAUCCUUAAUAUGUGUAUGUUGAAUGGUUGCAUUCUUUGCCGUGUAGGAUUGUGUGACAAAGUUCUUAUGAGACUACAGGCAGCUGCCUCCAUGGAGGUCGGAGGUGAAGAAGUGAAACAAGACUGCUAAUUAUGUUUAAAGUGACUCCUUCUAAAACAAACAUGGAAUUAAAUUUAAGCACGAAUCAAAUUCAAGCAGCAUAACAUUUUGACACGAGUGGAUUUCUCUGCUGGAUGCCACCUGCUCCAAUCAUGUACUAUCAGUUUAUGUCAAAUACUUUACACUUACUGUGUGACAUUUUAAAUUAAUAAUCCCCUUGAGAUUAUAUACACAAAAUUCGUAUUUCAAUUCAUUGGAGAAUUGCUUGUUCUCAUAGUUGGAGACCAUAAUAUAAAUACAAGUAUCCUAUGGAUUUUCAAAACAACUGUCUACUUGAACUGGCUUCACUACUGGUUUCAAUAUUUCAUUGGUUUUACUAAGCAAAAUAUUGUAACAUUACUUUGUGUUUAAUUAUUUUAGCAAUAAAACAGCUGUAUGUAUGAUCUUUAAAUAUUUCUAUACUUAGUAUGUACAAACUUCUCAUCUGUUGUAAGUUAUUUGCUGGUUCUAGUUUACUUGCUGUUUAAUAAAUCCUUCUCUUUCUUUGUGGCUUUCCUGGAA